rnacentral:lncRNA from 1 species
GUUCUAGCACUUUCAACUUCUUUAGGCAGAAGGGCCUUUAGCUCAUCCUCAAAUGUCGCGAUCUUUUGGAAGAUGGAGGUGCUCAGGUUCCUCUCACUGUCACCGUUUUUAAGUGCGUGUUCAACCAGUGUUUGCCUUAGUUUUUGCAUCAAUGGGUAGGUUGCGCUGCAGGGAUCAUCAAUGUAUGCGAAGAUAUAUUCGCGGUCCACCACUCUGAGCAAAUCUUUCUCACAGAAUCUUGAGGGAUGGAGUUCACCGUUGACACCAGUGGUGAGUACUCGCUUGGCUACUUGGCUUACAGUGUUUUUGACGGUGUUUUUCAAAUUCUCCUCCAAAUGCCUCAAGUCUAUUGCUUGGCAGAGGCCAACUAAAAACGUGGUAGACAUGAGUUUCAAGAUUUCGACAGCUUCUGAUGUUUUCCUGGAAGAAAUCAAGCCCAAGGAGUUCACAUCUUGAUUGUGUUGUUCAGCACUUUGAACAUGGUUGGUCACUGGAUUGGCUAGAAACUGAAGUUCAGAGCAGUAAGAAGCCAUGGCAAUCUCAGCUCCCUUGAAUCCAUAAUCCAAACUCGGAUUACGCCCUCCAGACAAAUUCGAUGGCAACCCAUUGUUGUAAAAAUCAUUGACAAGUUCUGAAAAUUGAGCAAACAUGAGCUUUCCUAUCGCUGC